AGCUCAUAUGAGGCGUAAAAAAAAUACCUGUGGUUCCGGUUCCCGACCGACCCUAUUUUUUUCUGCCGACCCUAUUAUUUUUUCAACACGAUUGACCGUGCGACCCUAUUUUCUCCAGGUGGUUGCGGGCUGCUCAUACAGCGUGCCAAAAUGGCAUCUGUUGUCACAAUAAUUAUUGAACCAAAUUGUCUCAAUUCGUCCGUAGGAAAUACGCACCUCUAGUUAAUAUUGAUGUCG
rnacentral:lncRNA from 1 species